CUGCUAUCUUCGGCAGCACAUAUACUAAAAUUGGAGCAAGGCACAGAAAAUUAUCAUGGCUCCUUGCAAAGAAGACAUGCAAUUUCUUGAUGCCUUUCAUAUUCUU